rnacentral:tRNA from 1 species
ACCUUGUUGGCGGAAUUGGUAGACGCGGCAGACUUAAAAUUUGCUCCUUUUUAAGGGUAUCGGUUCGAUUCCGAUACUAGGUACUA